CAGCAGCCGCGGUAAUACGAAGGGUGCAAGCGUUAAUCGGAAUUACUGGGCGUAAAGCGUGCGUAGGCGGUUUGUUAAGUCUGUUGUGAAAUCCCCGGGCUCAACCUGGGAAUGGCAAUGGAUACUGGCAAGCUAGAGUGUGUCAGAGGAUGGUGGAAUUCCCGGUGUAGCGGUGAAGUGCGUAGAGAUCGGGAGGAACAUCAGUGGCGAAGGCGGCCAUCUGGGACAACACUGACGCUGAGGCACGAAAGCGUGGGGAGCAAACAGGAUUAGAUACCCCCGUAGUCCCUGUCUCUUAUAC
rnacentral:rRNA from 1 species